UACGUAGGGUGCGAGCGUUGUCCGGAAUUACUGGGCGUAAAGGGCUCGUAGGCGGCCAACUAAGUCGGAUGUGAAAUCCCCAGGCUCAACCUGGGAACUGCAUCCGAUACUGGAUGGCUUGAAUUCGGGAGAGGGAUGCAGAAUUCCAGGUGUAGCGGUGAAAUGCGUAGAUAUCUGGAGGAAUACCGGUGGCGAAGGCGGCAUCCUGGACCGACAUUGACGCUGAUGAGCGAAAGCUAGGGGAGCAAACGGG
rnacentral:rRNA from 1 species